rnacentral:rRNA from 1 species
UACGAAGGGGGCUAGCGUUGCUCGGAAUCACUGGGCGUAAAGCGCACGUAGGCGGAUUGCUAAGUCAGGGGUGAAAUCCUGGAGCUCAACUCCAGAACUGCCUUUGAUACUGGCGAUCUUGAGUCCGGGAGAGGUGAGUGGAACUGCGAGUGUAGAGGUGAAAUUCGUAGAUAUUCGCAAGAACACCAGUGGCGAAGGCGGCUCACUGGCCCGAUACUGACGCUGAGGCACGAAAGCGUGGGGAGCAAACAGG